rnacentral:lncRNA from 1 species
UGAGCUGCUGUUUGAAGUAGAAGAUACUCAGAUCCCUGAGUUUGCAGCUCUUGUCAGAAGGAUCAUGGAGUCCUUGCAACAGGUACAGACCUUGGAACUGCAGCUGCAGGUGCCCCUAAAGGUGAACUUGAGUAUUGGCCGCUCAUGGGGACACCUGACCCCACUGCAGGAGACCCUGGGCUCAGCCUGACCCAUCUCCCAGCAACAGUCCAGCAACCAGUGAGGUCCCUGCUUCCUACCCCCAUAAAGGGCUUUUUCUUUCAUCCUGCGUAUCUGUAUCCCUGGGCAACAGUGGAAUGAGAGAGUUUGUUUCCACCAAUCCAUCCUACAGCCUUUUCCCAUGUCACAAGCUUGCACUCUAUGAGGGCUAAACUAUACAGGCUACAUUAACCCUUUGUGGAACAACUAGGGUACCUGAAGUAAAUGCCUAAUGAGAAGCUG